GCGAAAUGAACUAGGCGCGGCCAAAAGGAGCCCCAUCCAUCUAUCACACGUGUAGACAAAGGGGGACUCCACAACACAAAGCUAGAUGUUCCCUCUCAAACUUUUUUCCACGACGCACGGCGGCGCGCACAGAAGCAAGCCACCCCCCAGGCAGAUUUUAACACCUGAUAAACCAGCAAGGCGUGGGAGGUUACGGAAAUAAAAAUAUGUGGAAAUCACAUGGAAGAUGUACAGAGUCAACUAUCAAGCAGCUUUUAAGACGCAGAGGAGGAUUAAGAGACUGUGCAGUUUUCUUUUUGGAGAAGGUGAAGACUCAUCUCAUAAGGAUUUAAACAGCAGCAGCAGCAGUGCCAGGCGGGAUGCGUUUUAGGCACACUUGGAAAUCUAAAACUCAUGGAGACACUUUGAGGAUUAUAAAAAUGUGUAGUGUGUCUCUCCACAAGACAUGUCCCAACCCUAAAGUCACAGGGAAUAGCAGGAUAUUACAUUUCUGAUCCUCCUUGGCCCCUCAGCAUAGCCCCUUAUCAAUGAUGUCAUUGAGAGCCAAUGGGAGCACGCAAUGGUACUUGUCAGCAUCCAAGCUCCACCUCCAGCCUCUUUGUGCAUGGCAGCCCACAUGGUCCUGCAGCAUCACAUUUUCACCAUGCUGUUACUCUGCUGCAGAGAGAGGCAGGGAUACAGAGAUGUUGCUCUCGGCUGUGUGCUGUGAUGUUAAUCUACCAUGUCUGCUCAGGAAAAAAAGCUUGUUUAUCACUGUAAGCAUAUGCAUGGAACAACAUGGGGCUGUCAUUUUUUGUUUACAUAAAUGAUGAGCCAUAAAAAAGAUUACAUUUAUUGAAAAUAAAUAUAUAUGAUAUUUAAAAGUUUCUAGUGGAAAAAAAAACAUACGGGCUAAGUGAGUGUAUGUUAUCUACCUGCGCUUGUUAACAGCAGAGCUUUAAGACUUCAGGAACAUUUACCCACCUCCUCCUGCUCUUGUGGAACAGGUUCAGGUCACAGACUGGAAAUCAUUGGAUCAGUGGGAAUGUGGGUCAGUCAACACUGUGACACACAGGUGGGACAGAUAUAGGUCAGUGGUAGAGUAUGGGUGCUGAUGAGUCAUGCAUCUAUAAUUAGCAGGUGCAAGGCAGAGAGGGAAAAAAGGUUUGGUCACUUAUUGAAAUGUGGAGGGAGAAUGUGUGAAGUGCAUCUCAUCUUGACCAUCCACUGCACACACAAAGAUUUUACUCAUUUCAACUGCAAGCUUGGCAGUUUUAUAUGAGAAUGAUAGUUUACGACUUUAGCUCUUUCAUUUAAUGUGUAAGAUCUGAGUUCAUUUCAUCUGAGUUCAUUAGUAGUGCUACACCUCUUCUGCUCUACUAUUCACCUAUGAUACUGUGGAUUACAAGUGUGCAGAUUCAAUUCAGCACCCAGUUAAUGAACUUGUGAGUAAGACAGAAACAUCAGGUUUAGCAUAACUAAUCAUUGUAACAGGCCGAGCACUGAGCUCUUAAUAGGCAUCGCACAGGCAUGGUUUCUGCUACAAUACAGUAUGCUCCACUGUGUGUAGCUUAAUUACAUUGCUUAUCUGUAAUGCUAUUAUCAAGUACAGUGCAGUUUUCAUAACAUUUGCCAUUUGGAGGGCAGUUUAUGAGAGUCUACUUUUUUUUCUUUGUAUAGAUGUCCCAGUGAGAGUAGAGCUUCUAAACCUAAUCCACUGAGUUUCAGGGGGACAACAUUUAGCUCAGCAAUCUGUGGCAUCUUCCAGCUCUGAAGUCUCAAUAUCCUUCUAAGCUGGAAUGCUCAUUAAAAUGGGCAAUGGCUUCAUACCAUCGCUUUCUCUGCAGCAUAUGUGCAACUAAAUCUGUGUCACUAUAAUCUUUCAUCCAUCUGUAUUUCGCUAUUACACUAACAUAAAGUACCUCAUCCUGUUUCUGGUGAAGUCUGACGAGAACCACAAAGCAUAUUGCUGUGUGGGAGCUAAGUAGUGUACCUUACUGGGUCAAUGACACCAAUUCUACAGAUAUAGUUGUGUUUAAAUGUGCAUCAUUCUUACCCAGUUUUAUUACUUGUAUGCACAACAUGUCUGUGAGCUGGACUGAUGUUAUGCAAAGUGCAUUAGACUAGAAUACAACAUUAGGCCUAGAAUAACUAAUCACUAGCAUAAGCCUAAUUCUCUCAGACAUCCUGUGGUCAGCCUCUGGGAAACCAUCGGGUUUAGUUUUACCACUCAUUGCAUGUAGCUUGUGGGCAUUGCAGCUUGUAGGCCGUCAUAGAAAUCACUAUAAUACAUUUAUGUGUACACUUAGACCAGUUAUGGUCCUCUCUGUUUUUGUAGCAUUUGAUACUUAGAAACACUGUUUACCCACUUUUGUGUAUGUUAACACUAUGCCUUGCUAAAGUCAUACUAUUUUUGCACUCAGAAAUGUAAUAUUUGAUGCACUGAUACAAGUGCUGACAGACGGAUAAAUAAUUUUUUAACUGGAACAAAGAGGAACAGCCGCUCAAACAGAUUUUGCACAUGUUAUGUACAACAGUAUGUGCCUUGACAAAAAAGAGAGAUAGAUUAAAUUGUUGAAGAUGAGCAAAUGCUCAAAUGCUGCAGCAAUAAUGAUUUUGUUAAAUUUUUCCCUACCAGCUGACGUUGGGUUCAUGUUCCCUUUGUGCGUAUCAGUGAGUCAUACAGGACGCUAUGCCGUGGGUACAGUAUAGUAAAAUACAGUGCAGUAAAACAUUAGGCACACCAUUACUAAUUGUGACGACAGUCCUAAUUCUCCGAGCUACAGGCAUUCUGUGGUCAUCCUGUUGCAAACUAUCAGAGCUUAGUUUUACCACUUGGCGCCUGUAGCCGCGAGAUAAGUUAACGUGCUCUGCUGGCAUGCUAAUACAUACCCGCACUGGGGGGGGGGCAAGAAUAAAUUAUUUCUCUCUGACUGCACAUGAGGCAAAGCAUUUGAAGGAGGGGAGGGAGAGAUAGAGAGAGCACAUAGGGAGAUGAAGCAAGGGGAAAGAGAAGUGGGGGUAAAUGAUGGGUAGGAAAAAGAGGAGGAAAAGAGAGAGAGCAAGACAGGAGAUAUAGUGAAACAGAUUGAGACAAAAGGGGAGGAGAGUGAGAGAGAGAGAUGAAAAGGACAAGAAUGAGACUAAUAGGAAGCUUUAUAGUAGUCUUUAUAUCUGCCUCUCUUCAGUUUCUAGUAAUUCUCUCACCCUGUCAGAGUGGAGUAGUCAUUUUAUGUCUGACUGUUACUGGAUUUAUGAAAAAACACAGACUUCCAGAGCUUCCUUAUUCUUUACAGCCAAUAAGAAAGAUGACUGAAAGGCUUUUCCCAGAUAGGUAAUAUUUGAAGCUAUGAGGUCAGAAACAACACACUGUUUGCACUGGCUAAUAAUUACUGCACAGAUUUAUUUAUUUUUACUGCUGUGUCCUUAAAACCAGUCAGCCUGCAUCCUCCAUCAUAUGACCUUUUGAGGGAUUUUGGCCUAGUUUGAAAUACCCAAAUCAUCCAGUAGAAAUUGCUAGCGGAAAUGUUAAAAAAUGUUGCAAUCUGAAACACGCUAGUAUUGCUUUUAGUGUGGCAAAGCAAUGACGCAGGGACAAUUUUUUUUAAUGGCGAGAGGGAGGGAAAGGAAGACCUGACUUUGUGAUGUAGAUUGCUAUUUAGUUAUCUUAUGUUUGAGUUUAAAUGCUAAUGUCUGGUUUUGUGCUACACUGUGUGCUUAUACUUUUCUGCCUGCUGCACAUUUGCCCUAUGGGAUUUCAGAAGAGUCAAAACUAAACCGCAGACAGUAGCAUGACAAAUCAAUCGCAAAACACAUAACUGUAAGCGCCAAAUCAAAAUUCACUGGAUGAGAGCUCACAUGGUGUGUUGAACAGCAGGUCUAACUGCCCCCGAAGACAUUGCCUUCUGCUCCUCCAUCGUCUUAGCCAAGGUAUAGAUAUAGGGACACAAUUUCCAAUAACAGCUUUAGCCAGUUGUCUGUCUGUCUAUUACAGGUCAACUUAUUACCUCCAUAAAUGCACAGCAUGUUGCUGUCUGGGGAUGGACUGAUAAUCCCUCUAAAGACUGGGGUUUUAUCAAAGCUAAAUCUGCUCCUCACACAAACACAGACACAGACACACAGACACACACAGGGACAGGCAUGCAUCAGCAAUACUCACAUGGCAACACACAGUCACACAGAGUAACUACACACAGACUUUUCUGGUAGACAGACAGACAGAUAUACAUGUAAAGACUAGGAUUUUAUCACAGAUAAAUCUGUUAUUGUCUGCUAGUUAGGAGAUUAUGCAGCAGUGUGUCAUUAGAGGAUGCACACUGGCUUGCGUACUGAGGGCAUAGUGCAGUUAAGUGAUAUCAGCACUUGGGAGCUUUAACAAUGUGAUUGACUGUGGUCAGUGUCAGUACAUCAUUUUAGUGACUGCUUUUAUCGUAUGCAUUUAUUUGUGUUGUUUUGUUGCACUUCAAAUACAUCUUCUUUCACCCUCAGCUGCAGUAUAGUCCAGUAUAGAGCAGUCUUUUUCUUAAUGGUGUUUAGGUUCUGUUUUGCAUUUUCACUGUUAAUAGAGGUGUAAGCAGACAUGUUUUUGUUUUUUGUUUUUUUUUAUAUAUUACAUCUAACAGCUCUGGCUGCUUUUAGUGCUAGAAAUCACCUCAACCAGAAUUUCUUCCAUGCCGCCCUGUUUCAGUUACCAUCAGUUUCUAUCAGUUUCCACCUCUGAAUUUUGAUAAUAAUGAGUGGCAAAUGAUCCAUAACAGCAAUUUAGAACAUAGCCAGAGCACAUAUCACAAACUCAUUUUUCAUGGCAUUUACCAUAAGUCUAAAAGUAUCCAUUUGAGAAUCAAUUGAGCCAAUUCAGAUACAUGACCAGUCAUUGAAUGUUGCAAAUGCAGGGCCUGUGUCUGUUUUUUUUAAGUCCAUAAUCAAUAGUUUUGGGGAAAUCUGUCAUGUUUGUUACUGAACAUCUGCCAUAAAUUUACCAGUUUGGUAGUCAGAAGCAAGGAGCAAUGACCCAGCGAGUGGAGCAAUGAUCCAGUUAAAUGUAAGAUAGGUCCCUGUUGUGCCUGAGUGAAGAAGAGAAUUCACUGUCAUGUAUUGUAUUGUAUAGCCUAAUUAGACCACAAUGAAUGAAGAAGAGCCAGUCUUCUGCUCCAGGUUAUAGACAGCAAAGUUGUCAGUGAUGGAUACCUCAGAGGAGUGUAAGGCCACUGAUUAGUGAAUGGUUGACUGGUGGACUGUCCUUGGUGCUAGAAACUCAGUUCAGCUCAAGUUUGAGCACACACUACUGUACAUCAAGAUUCACGUAGUGGGAGAGUUAGGAUGGCAACCAGACUUGCACACAUGCACUGUUUCCAUGCUAACUCCAUGUAUUGGAGGCAGCUCUUCCUUCUACAAAUAAACAAAUCUACACUCACUCUGUAUCACAUUUUCAUGUUUCCCUCCAUAUAAUCAUUCUGUCAGCCAGAAAGUAAUGUUUCUCUUCAUUUGUUAGUAACCUGCUUUAACUGUCAGUCACAACCCAGUUAACUACUAAGUAAAGCCUCUGCCAGUCAUAGUCUGCAAACUGAAAGGAGAAUUAAAGCCUGCAGUUUUGUUUGAAGCUGGCACCUUCUGAUUUCCCGAGAACUUGUAAUAUUUUGACAGUAAUUAUUUGAAAACAUAUACUUUGCAAAACAAAAAAAGAUCACAGUGAAAUAGCAAAUAUUUCAUAAAAUGAUAAAAGCACAGGAGAAUGUCUGAGAAUCUAUGCUGAUGUAAAACCAUAAGGGAAUUCACUAAAUGAGCAAAAACUCCAAUCCUGUUGCCCUGGAAGUGUCACUUUAGAGUUUUUUUUUUUUGUUUUGUUUUUUUUAAAGAUGAUACAAUAGAAUCACAUAGUUUUUUUGUCUUUACUUAUUUGAUAAUCUCACACAUGGUGAAUUCCUUUUCCUGCUAACAGCUUGUAUUCUACUUUGAAACUUAAGAUAUAAAAUUAAAUAUAAAACGGGUGUAUUGUACUGUCCUAUUAGCACAAUGCUAAUCUGUAAUGUGGCCAUUUGAGGGCUCAGAGUUAUUUUCUUGGUGCUACUGCAAUGAAUUGUAAUCUUGUUCAGAUAUAGCUGUCAGAUUAGAAUUGGGAGACAUAUCAGUAUUAAACAGGCAGUAUUUUGACUUAAAAUAAUAUCUUUGUGUGUGUGUUUAUGUGAAAGCUUGCUGCAGUUGGGACAGCGAUAGUUGAGCGGGCUAAUCCAAAAUAUUAUCACGUGUCAUAUCUUUUCUUUGCUGUGUAACACCUUGUCAGGGCUGCGUACUAUGGUUGACUAGUGCUGAAUCAGAUCUGUUUUGAUGGAGAUAUCUUUAAGCUUAGUUGGAUGUGGUGUGAUAAGUCAGAUUAUAACCUGCAACACUAGCUGAGAUAUCAGACUUUAAACUGCCACAGUCUCUGCCUUUGUGGAUACAACACACCCCUUUCUUCCUCAGUGUAUGCCUGCAAACAAUUUGGAUUUUUUUUUUUUUUUUUAAUAACGAGAUUACAGUGUGGGAUGAAGAUCUGUGCAUCCUCUGGCUCAUUGCUGUGUCAGCCCAUUGGAGAGAUAGCAGAUCACAUGUAGACAUUUAGUGAUAGCAGGCCUACCCAACAACAUGGCUGCUGGACCAGGAUUUAUUUGGAUAUGUUCAUAUCUACUGCUUAACAACCACAUUCUUCAUUGUACUUCUGUUGAUUCUAAUCUUCAUAUAGUCUAAUAAAAGGUUUAUAUAGGCUACAUACGUAGGUGUACACAGUACACCUAUGCUUUUGUUAUGAAAGUUAUGAUGGUUUAACAUAAGUGGUUUCAAAAUGAUUUCUUUAAGAGGCUAGACGAAUAUGAGCUCAACUGACACACCGAGUCUAUUUAUGUAAGCAUGUUUUUGUAUGCAUAUGUGUAUAAGCAUCUAUCCAUCCCCUCUUUUAUACAUCUAUCCACAUAUUUGUUUCACAUUGCCAGUGUACACAUUGCUGACACCAUGUUAAAUAUAAUUAUGUAUGAUGGUGUAAUAGCAUGCUGCAACAUGACUCAAAAUUUAUCAGUGAUUGCCUAACUCUUUGUUUUUCAUGAUCUGCCUCAGAGAUCAUUCAUGUCCAGGAAUCUCUGUGCAUGGGCGUGCCAUUUAUAGCCUUGUGAUGGUUAAUGUAAAAAGUUGGGUUUACUGGAGGCAGAUUAUGCCUCAGAGUAUGAAAGCCUUCCUGUAAGAGUGUCUGUGCUGACACGAUUUUCCAGUCCAGUGCAAGACAUAAUCUGAGUGCCUGGAAAUGGGAUGAAUAAACCCAAGUAAAUGCCCCACUCUCAAUAAUGUAGUAGCUCCAUGCAAAACACAGUCUCUGUGCUGGUUACAUUUGGAUACAAGCCCAAUUCCCUAUAAAACAUGGCAUCACAGACAACAGUUAAGUAGUAGUUUACAUUUAAUAUGAGAGCCUUUUAAAAUAAUGGGCACACUUAUUUAAAUGAAUAUGUAUAUUUUAGCAUAUGCCAGGCUAACUACAUUGUUAUUUUCACCUGCAGUAAUCCCCCAUUAAUGUGCAUUUGUAUAAGGUCAAAAAAGCCAAAUUGCAACUUAAAACUAAGGCUUUUAUAGACAAUAUAAAAGAUCUAGUGAAGAAUAAAGGCUGACAUAUUUCAUUUCAGGACUUUUUUUAUAUGAGGUCAAUGUGUAAUCUCUGGUGGGAAUGUGGUUGAAUAAGGCCAAGUCAUGCCCUGCUCUUAUUAUUAUGCAUCUCAUUACUAUGCGUCAGCCGUUAGCUAUUCUGUCCUGUGCUGCGUUGCCAGUGCCAGUUCACAAGGUCAAAUUCAUGGUACUUGUAAAUGUCCUUGCUGAAUAAAAUUAGAUUGUGACUCAAAA